CAUUUAGUUUUUCGUAUCAUCUGUUUUCUUGAAAUUGAAGUUCAGAAAUCUCUCCAAUUUAUCUCUCUUUCACCAAAUUUGAUCUGGUUGUGUCAACAUUUGUCUUUUUCCCAUUUGGGUUUGCUAUUGAUGUUCGAUUUUCCUUGUGUUUUGGAAGUCCCAAUAAUUUUAAUCUUUGUGCUUUCAAUUUUAACUAGGUAAUUAUGCUUUCCGUAUUCUAUGUUUCUUUGGUUAUUCCUAUUUCAGAUUUUUGUUGUGUUUCUUCAUAUGCAAUAAUUAAUUUGGUUUUUUCCAUCGAAAUUAACUUUAUGGGUUUCUUUAUUUCAGUUAGGUGCUUUUUUAAAAUUUCAUACAUGGGUUUUCCAUCGCAAUCAAUUUUCAGGGCUAUUGUGGAUUAAACUUGGAGUUUCUUCACUUUAUUACAUUGAUAUUUAGAAAUUAUUUUCACUUGUUGUGUCAAGUUAAGGAUCUACAAUAAGAGGAAUUGACCUAUUGAUCUAUCAGUAGAUUUAGGAUAAUUAUACUAACCUUUAGAAUUUAAAUUAUCACUGAUAUAUGAGUAAAAUCCAUUUAUUGGUUGGAAAAACAAUAGGAAAAUUUCAACAAGAACUAUGUAUAUCACGAGUUUGAACUCUAUGCUUGAUACAAAGUCGAGGAAAGUAUUUAAGUGGGAUUAGUAGGAUCAUAACGGGGAUUUUGAACUCUGUCCUUGACCUAAAAUCGGGGAAACUAUUUAAGUGGAAUCAUAAUGAAGGGGCAUAUCCGUACUCUUGACUUUUCUAGAUGAACAACCGAAUAAAAAUGAGUCUCUUCUUGACUAAAAGGAUUUCUCUUAGUUUUAGCCAUAUAGUUAUCUAAUUUUAUGAUGAGGCUUUAAGUUUACUUCUUAAAAAGCUCGCAUGCUUCAAGAUUGAAGUAUAUGAUCCAGCCCUACUAUGAAACGUGAUUUCAAAACUUGAUAUUAUAGAAAACUUUCAAAUUUUGAUUCCAAUGAAUAUACACAUAUAAAGCCCAUCACUAACUUUGAUCUUAGGUGCAAGAGUUGUAGUACAUGACCCCUAUUCCAGAAUAGGUGACAAAAUAUUAUCUUAUUGAAAUACCAUUUGAAACAUUGACAGCUCACACUUUCAAACACACAAGUAUUAUCUUUUUUUAAAAAAUAUUAUUCUAUGUGUUGACACCCAAUUUCGAUCCCCCGACGAAGGUUAAUUUAUCGAGCUACUUCAAGUUUAAACAGUCGAAUAUAAUUAGUUUCAUAAAAUGGUAAUGAAAUAAUAAUAAUAAUAAUAAAAUAAUAAUAAUAAUAAAAGAUGAUAAUGACAUUGGGCGAGACUUUUAUUAUUUCGUUUAAAUGCGUUACUUUUAGCUUAGCCUUAUAAUAACUUAUGUUUUGGAUUGAUUAUUUUAUAAGUAACUCGAUUAUUUUAACUUUGUUAAAAUUAAGAAGCUCAUCAAACUAAUUAAUGUUCAUUCAUCUCUUUUGUUUACUUCCGUGGAAUUCGCCAAGUGAUCUAACUCGGCUAAUUUUUCGAUCCUAAAGCCAUUUUGGGGCCCUUAUAAAAUAUUUUAUGGCAAUCUCAUUUGCCCAUCCCACAUUCAAAUGCUCAUUUGUUCUCAAAUGCAGGCCCAAUGCUUUUUCUUGUUAAAUUAUCAGAAGCCCAAGAAUUUCGAGACAAGCCCAUUUCUUUUAUUCCCAUCCCUUAAAGCAGCAAAUUUCAUUUGUCCAAUUUCAAACCCAAUUCUCCAGCCCAUACCCCUUUGAACUGGUCCACGCCUGCUUCUUUCUUCCAGAGAAGAGCAGAUACGACUUUAGAGUCAACAAUAGACGCGUGAAGAAAAAGGGGCAGCAAACGCUGUGCUCCUCACGCUCGGCGGAACAAACACACCUCCUUGUCUCCUUUAUACUGAUUUCAGCUUUUAGUUGUAUGAUCGUACGCCUCCAGCUGGAAGAGACCGUUUCGAAUCGUCCUUGCUCUUGUGGAUGGGUGCCACGUCGAGUGCAAGGACGAAGCGAAAUAAUCCGAGCCAUCCUCUACCAUGUCAUCCGGAUUUGGUGGGAUUUGGAUAAGUUGUAGUACGAAAGGCAACUGCCUUUGUCCUCGAGGAUUCUUUUUGAAUUUUGAUGAUCAUUUCAAGAAAUUCCGAGUUUUCCCUUUUCCCCCCAUUUUCGAAAACCCUAGUUUCUUCUCCUAUAAAUACAUUCUUAUUGUUCUUGGAGGAUUCUUUGUUUUGUUUCUUUGCUUGUAUAAUGUGAAAAUUGCCGGCAUCGAACGGGGAUUAACUUAGUCAUAAAUAUGUGAAUAUUGUUCCUCGUGUGGGUUUUCAAAUAUGGAGAUCGUAGUUAGAACGUGAGAUUUUCCUGUUCUGUUGUAUGAGCUUCAAAAGUUAUCUUUUUAACUUUCGAGUGUGAUCAUGGUUGUUGAGUGUUGCUAUGUCGUAGUCUCUAGAGCUGUUGAUUCGAGAAUGUCGUCCAAGCAUGUAUGUGUGAACCUACUGUCCUAUAUGGAAUUUUGCAGUUCGAAACCCAUAAACGACUUCAUCCUAUUUUCCAUAUUUUCGGGAUCUGUAAAAGCUCAGUUUUUUUUGUCCGAGUAAGGCCUAUUAAAAUCGACGAACAAGUUUCGAAGUUAAAGAAUCCGAAGCAAGUCGGAAUAGUCAAGGAGAUUAGAUCGAAGAGACUAAAUUUAUUUUAAUUGUCGUAUUGUAUUUAUUUUGGGCCUAAGCCCUUGUUGUAUUUUCUUUUCGUAUUCAUUUUUUUGUAAUUAAUUUAGGACAGGUGGAAAUGGGUCAAUAAUCCAAAGCAGGUGGGUCCAAAAUCCAGUCAAGGCAGAUAGAAUCACGGUUUGGGCCCAAAACCUCUCUUUUCUCUCUCUC